GUAAGCAUUCUUUAGCUCGGCUAUUACUUCGCUUUGGCUUACUUGCUUUUCCUAGCUUAUGCAUGUCUACCCAUCACUUUUCCGGUGCCAAAGAAAUGUAAUUCGUGUACUGAAUGGUGUAGAGAUGAGUUGCCAGGAAGCUGCAUGGCCCCUUAAAAGCCAUCGUAUGAACUGAGCCGGAACGCCGUCACAACCGGUUUCACCACAGCUACUUCUUGACUUU
rnacentral:lncRNA from 1 species